rnacentral:rRNA from 1 species
UACGGGGGGAGCAAGCGUUGUUCGGAUUUACUGGGCGUAAAGGGCGCGUAGGCGGCCAGCACAAGUCAGUUGUGAAAUCUCCGAGCUUAACUCGGAAAGGUCAACUGAUACUGUGCGGCUAGAGUGCGGAAGGGGCAACUGGAAUUCUUGGUGUAGCGGUGAAAUGCGUAGAUAUCGGGAGGAACACCUGAGGCGAAGGCGGGCUACUGGGCCGAUACUGACGCUGAUGUGCGAAAGCCAGGGGAGCGAACGGGG